AACGCGAAGAACCUUACCCAGGCUUGACAUACACGAGACAGCAUCAGAAAUGGUGCCUCCCUUCGGGGCUCGUGAACAGGUGCUGCAUGGCUGUCGUCAGCUCGUGCCGUGAGGUGUUGGGUUAAGUCCCGCAACGAGCGCAACCCUUGUCAUUAUUUGCCAGCACGUAACGGUGGGAACUUUAAUGAGACUGCCUAGGUCAACUAGGAGGAAGGUGAGGAUGACGUCAAGUCCGCAUGGCCCUUAUGCCUGGGGCUACACACGUGCUACAAUGGUCGGUACAAUGGGCAGCAAAACCGCGAGGUGAAGCAAAUCCACCAAAACCGGCCCCAGUUCAGAUUGUAGUCUGCAACUCGACUACAUGAAGUCGGAAUUGCUAGUAAUGGCGUGUCAGCUACAACGCCGUGAAUACGUUCCCGGGCCUUGUA
rnacentral:rRNA from 1 species